UUCUGGAAUGACUGUUUUCUGAAAUUAGAGCUUGGAAACUAUGCAAAUGAUCUCGAUUCCUCACAGCUUACGAGGUAGAACGCAGAUAGUGAUGACGGUUUGCUCUUUUCAUAUUGAAAUACACCCUACGAGAGAAGGCGCCUUUGAGACAGCAGGGAGGGAGGGAAGAACUGGGGGGGCAGCACUGGCCUGUCCGCACACCUUCCUAGGCCGAGGCCCUGCUGAGGGCCUAGCCCUCACUAGAGGUGCUGUCUAGUAGGGCGCCACCGGAACCCGUCACGAGUAAGCGUCACGGACAUGCUGGUUAGCAGCCGCGGCCACCUUGUCUUCUUCCUUCUUCUUCUUCUUCCUUCUUUAAAAAAAGGAAACGAAGCUAGGUAAGAUUUUUAUCAGCUUUCUCUGUCCAAACCCGUUUUCUCCUGUCAGUCCUGGAAGCUUGACUAGAAUGAUAUUGUUGAAGCCUUCCGGUCACAAAGCGUCUUCUUUAACCUCUCGUCCCUCCUACAGCACACCGGCCCCUGUGGUCAUAUCAGUUUGUAAUCUGAUUUGCUGACAGUCCUGCCCGCCCUGCUUCUCGUUUGCCCACACGCCCUGUGUCCCCACCGAGGCGGUGGCAGUGACUCGGACCAGGGUGUUUAGGAUCACUGCCGCACCCACGAUGCCCUGUUAGCCUUGGCUACGGACCCCACGUUGCAUAUGUCCUCCGUGUACUCAGGAUCAAGACUGAUGUUUACUCUCUGGGCACUGUUGUAAGAUAGGUGUUGUCAAAGCAUAAUCAUUUUUGUCUGCAGAGUGUUUGGUGCAAGGAAGAUUAUUGCUAAUUUUGUGAAAUAAAGAGUCUCGCCCUCUCCUUUUAACGGACUUAACUCUCUGUAGCAUCACUGGGAGCUGGGGCGCACAUGGAAAUGAGAGCCCAGCGCAUGGAUUCUAAUGUUUUUCUAACAACUGUGGAGAUUUGAGGGAAUGCGUGGUGAAUGUAAAAUAUCUAGUUUACUUGGCAGUCUCUUGUGUAAAUUACAGUAAAACAAAGUAAAUGAAAUUUAAACAAAAAAUAAAUUUGAUCACAAAAUGCCACUUGUGUGCUUGAGUGGUUGUUUCCCUGAUGCCCCGUCUGGUUCAGACCACCGUGGACCACUUCUCUGCCGUUUUCUCAACAAUUCUCUAAUUUGCGGCACUACCACUCUGGGAAAAAUAAAGAAAAGAUGUGGGUUUUUUUUUUUUUUAAUUUUUCACUGCAAACUCUCGUUCUUGAAAUGUGCCUGUGCCACGUUGAACUGUUAGGUUUGGUUUCUUAAUUUUCUGCCUUUAAAAGCUAAGCAGUAAACUAAAGAAGGGUUAUCAUUGGUUUCCGAGGUUCUUUAAAAAUUACAUUUCAAGGGGAUAAAUACGGAGAACGCGUAGUAUUUCUAAAAGCACUCAGUAAAGAUUUUGUCAUCAGAGUCUGAUGGUUUCAAGAUGGCGGCUUUUUGGUUCAGGGCAGUGCUUCACAAACUCUCUUAGGACUUCGCCAUUGCCACUCUCCUGUUUCUGGACGCCUCGCAGCUCUUUUCUCAUGGUCUCGCCUUACACUCUAGAGCCGCUCAGCGUCAGCAGAGGUGGCCGGCCACACGCAUGGAUGCAUGUAGAGUGUUAUGUUUCCGAAUGUUCUUUUCCGAGGUGAUCUUCUUAGUGUGUUAUCUCAGACUUCGUGUCUGCACUCGUGGGGCCGGUCUGCCGUUCAGGAUGCUGAGCGGCAGGGCUCAGUGAAGGCACCCAGGGGAGUAAACGCCACAGCCCGGCGUGGGAGACAGGCGCGUGCACAGCUGAUUACAGCUCGGUGCAAUAACGGAGAGAGCGCUUAGACCUCGCCCGCUUCAUACAGACGACAGAGCAAACGUUCGGGUUCAAGGCAGCUGGGCAGGCACUUGGGGCCCGAGGAGCCCAGAGUGCCGCUCCCGGGCCAGUGCUGCCAACAGCGGGCCUGGGGUCAGGCGCACCCCUCCCGGCCGCUCGCUGAGCCCUGGAGCGCCCAGCUGCAGAGUGCUGAGGGUCAGCUGAGGCGUCGCAUCCCCGAGCGUGUGGUGCGCCCUCUUCGGUGUGAUCGCUUCCUCCUCCUUCCGUUCAUUUCCCUCCUGGUUGAUCUGAAAUCACUGUGGACCCAACACCUGGCUUUUCCAAAGCUCACCUCUCUCUCCCCUCGCCAGCUUGCUAAGCUGGAUGGUUUCGCAGCCCAGCCUCCUCCUGACAUCUUGUCUCUGAGGAAGGAAGAGACACUUGGCUGACGGUUGCUCUGUUCAUCUCUCAGCAGCUGCACCGACGGGGUCAGCGUGGGAUUCCCUGUUCUUGACCGUUUGGAAGGAGAAAGUUCUGCCUGUUCUUAGACCCUGAGAUCUGAUAUCAUGAGAGCCACCGAAUGUUACAGUGUGUUAGGACUUCUGAGUGUUUUCAGGCUGUGCACACUGGCAAGUGUAGAUUUGGAGACUACCGCGGUCGGGGGAGGGAGGGAAGGUGCUAGGGGACAGGUUGAAGAUUGUCCCCCCGAGCUCGGGGCAUCUGUUGCCGACAGAGUGCUUCCCGGGAACCCCCGCCAGUGUCACUCGAGGUUAUGUCCUCCGACUUGGAAACGUUAAGCAACAGCCGGUCUCUUCAAAACCAGUUCUUCAACCAGAUUGGAUGGGGAAAAAGUAGAAAUUGCAGUUAUUCCAGAGCUGCCUCUCGACAAGGCCGCGUCAUCUGAGGCCACGCUGAGCAUUUGAAGCCGUGCUCGGCAGCUGGAGGCCCCUGGCGCUCUGAUGCCCGGCCCUUUCUUCCUUCUGGAAGUGCCAUGUUGUCAGCCUGUUGUUUAAGGAAUUCAGAACUGCUUGCCUCCGCUGCUUCCUGGCUUCCUCGUGUAUGUAAACCAGGGGUUCCCAGCCCUGGCGGCUCGAGAGUCACGGAAGCUUGAAAAGCGCCGGCUGCCCACCGGUCGCCUUUCUCUGGCUUGGCUCCGGUGUGUCCCGUGUUCAAGGGACAGGGAACAAGAGCUGAGAAGAUGCCCGCUCUCUUCCUGGGGGAUCACUGAGAAAACCCCUUGGUCUCCGUGCAGCCAACCUUCCCCCUGGCGUCGUCUCCGCAGCAGUCCUCACCCCUCGCUUGGCACCUGCAGGCUCCACACUGCCCUAAUCGGGGAAUUGACGCUUCAUCUUCUGUGCCUGGAUGGUUUGCAUCCCAGGUUAGCUCGGGACCUCAGCACGGGCAGGGGCCACAGCCGUCCCCCGCCCCACCCUGUCCCUCGUUGCCUCCUUCCCUGUGAGAACUUGGGCUCUGAGACUGCCCAGUCUGCCCACAGCAGAUGCCUGCCCGCCCUGUGCAAGGGUCCCUUUGGAGCCCUUGGGGGGAGGGGAGCGCAGCCCCCAAAUCCGUACGCUCCGGUUCCUGCCCUCAGAGCAUGAAAGAGUGGCAGCUAGCUGCCACAGGAGGUGGUAGUUCUGGAAGCUGACGGUAGUGAGUGUGGCAAGAGGACAGAGGAGGGAGCUCCAGGCCCACGUUUCCUCCUCUCUUCGGACCUCUAAACCGGAGUUUUGGUCGACUCUUGCACCUCCAGGAGUCUUCGGCCAAAUCCGCGUCUGUCCUCCUCUUCCCAGAUGUAUGCUCGUCUGUCCGUGACCUGCAUCACUGACGGCGCUGCCCGAGCCAGGGACCCUAGUUGGUCACCGAGUCUCAAAAGUGCUCACAAACGCCUGUGACAUCCUGCUCCUCUCAUACGGCCUAGUCCAGGCUGUGCUCUGAUGAGCCACCCUCUUAUCUAGCGCAGGGGUCCGUCAGCUUUCUGCAAAAGGCUGGGUGGUGACCAUUUUAGGCGUUACAGGCUCAUGCGGCGUAUCACAGCCACUCUCCUCUGCCCUGGCAACGCAGAAACGGCCACGGGCAGUCUGUAAACAAAUCCGUGUGUCUGUUCUGACAAAACUUCACUUACACAAAUAGGCAGCCGGCUGGAUUUGGCCGCUGACACCGUAGUUUGCCAAGCUCUGGUCUAGAGCACGGACGCAUACCCUUAAUCAGGCUGUGCUGGACGUGACUUUUCUAGAAGACCCCGGACGGUGCCGCACCCCUGCUCCGACACCUGCGUGGCUCCCAGAGGCCCAGGAGACCAGUGCAGCCAAAGCCCAUGACCAGCGAGAGGCUCAUUCUGCUGUUGGUAAAGUGGGGCCCACGAUACUCCUCUGCCUCGUGGCCGUUGGAUGGUCAGGCGCGGGUGGAAGGGACUGAGCUGCUGUCUGCUCUGCGCAGUGUGGAUGUCGUCCACAGAAAGAGCUCAGCCUGGGAAGACAGUUGCUGUUGUUUGCCGUCAGACUCCCAACCAGUACCAACUGAAAGCUGAAGGGCAGAGCUAUGACGGGCUAACAAAAGCUGUUGGUGUUCGGGAUACAGCGAAGAUAAUGCUGCUUCGCUAAACUUCUCAACUGGCAUGUUUUAACGUCACUGUCUGUCGUCUGUCGUCCAGGAAAAACCAUCUGUGGCCGCUAAGCUAAAUGCUACAGCCCUGGAAAAGCUCAUAGAUGCCCUCCACGUUUUCCGUGAUUGAGAUUUGGCUCUCUGGAUACCACUGCGGACAGGUUAACCAGAGCUUGGCUUCGUGACCCCCUAAUGGGGUGCGGUAAAGCCAGGCCCUUGCCCAGAAAAUCAGCCCUGUUUCCCAGAGUCCGUGAUACUCGACCUUGGGUCGACUCUGUUUACUCCUGGAAUUUCUGAGAAGCAGUAAAGCACCGUGACAUGCCUCUGCCUCGUUGAUCCCUUAUAUAUUCUGACACCACCUGCUAAUCAGUCGAUGGCAGAAUUGCCUUGCGCUGCAGACUGAGGGAGGUUCAUGAAGUGGAACGGAGGAGUGGCUUACAGUGUUUAUUAAUGUAUGUGCUAAACAAAAGCUUCGCCUCUGGGCAUCCCGUUGCACGCUGGCUCCCUGCAGCCUGGAAUACUGAUGGCAUGUUGUCGCAACGCUGACUCCCUUUUCCCAUGGCCUGGGAAGCCCUGAAACAACUCAGCCUUACCAAGAGGUUCUGUGAGUGUUUUGUAGCCGUCGCUCCAAAAUGUCAUUCCCAGAGAGGCACCGUGUAGGACAAGAGACUUCUCCCAAGCAAGGCCGGAGGGAGGCUUAGAAUCGGGCCCCGAACAGCCGCGCACAGACCACGCACAGGCCCCCUCGUUCCUUUCUUUAGAUGAGGCGUUGGCAAGCCUUCUCCCUAAAGGGCCGUAUGGUAAAUACGUUGGACUUUUGGGGCCACGCAGACUCUGUCGCAGCUACUCAAGUCUGCCUUUGUAGCACGGAGGUAGCCUUAGACGUAAUGUAAACGGCCUCCCCAGAGAACGUGGAGCUUGGCAACCGCGACCGCUGCCAUUGGGUUUUACUAAUGGUCGCUGCUGCUGUCUCUCCGAGAGGCCACGCCGGACAGGGGGUUUCGGCGUCCGACGCCUGUGUUCCGAGUCGGCCACGUCCGCUUACUGCAACGGGCCAGUGCGUGAGUCUCGGCCCCCCUGAGCCUCUGCGUCCUGCCCGUGAAGGUUGGGGUACUAACACCAGCAUGGAGUGUGGCCAUGAGACAGGAAAUGUAGAGAUUUUUUGGCCCGCUGAGACUGCAUAACCAUCUGCCAUAAAUUGAGACUAGUACG